CCCGUGGACUCUGGGCUCCCGAAGUCGGGCGGGGCGGGGCUGGGAGAGACACGAUUGCUUCUGGGUUUGCUUGUGGCGGAACGACCAAGCGGUUUAAGGAUGGGGCUGGGGCCUUCAGAUACUUGGGGGUGGGGAUGUGUAGCAAUUUACAAUGAACUUUUGUAGGUUAGAGAGGGAAGGUGAGCUUAAAACGAUCUUUGGGCUCGUGGACAGUGGGCAGAUGAGGAAGCAGCACCAGGUGGUCCAGUACCUUCCCCAAGAUCACUGUGAGCCAGUGAUAAAGUUGGGAUUUGAACCCACGUUUCGUGGUUCCAAUUCCUUACUCUUAACUUCUGUAAUGCUAAGAGAGGGUAAUGGAGCUACUGUGGAUAGGAACAGAGCUGGAGAUGCCCGAGGCGACAGGGAAAGAAGGAAAGUUUCCACGCGUAGAAUGACAUCAAAAGUCUCACAAUAACUCUGGAGGUGUUUGGGGUGACUUGAAGGCAGUAACUUUUCCACGAUGUUUUAAAACUGUCACAGGCUUUGUGACUGGAGGUUGGCUGCUAGCUGCUUUGUUUUGCUGGUUUCCUGGUUCCUGAUGGCGUUCUGUGUAUUUGCGGCUGCUGGAUAAGGGACUCCAAGUAAAAUUGGGGGUUUCUUCACUGGCCUCCUGCCUUGAAACCAAUAUUCUCUCCCUUCAAAACUCUUUGCUGAGUUAUUCUGUUGCUGGUCUGCAGGGACCAAAUGUUCUGCUUGCUACUAAGUCUAACAACUGGUGCUGCGUCGUGCCCCAACGUGGGCUUCAUAAAGCCCUUUUGGUCCCACAGUUCACCUCCAGUUUUUAUUUAAAUAUUUAAUGACGCAAAAAUUGGUGAAAGUGCCUCCUUAGGGAAUCUUGGGAAAGUACAGGGAUGUAAUCAAAUGAUUUGCAAAUUGUACUUAUUUAUUUAUAACUCUAAUUUGAAAAGAAGGAGCUGAGUUAUUAAAGGGGAUGUUCACAUUUUACAGAAACCUUAUCCUAAGGAAUGAGGGGUAAUCAUUCUUAAGAAAAGGGGGAAAUGCCAAGUGAUUUCCUAGAGUGAUUGCUUCUUAUCCUUCCUGUGUUGUAAUGGUUGUUUGUGCCGGCAAUUUACAAAGCUAUUUUUUCUGCUGUCUGCUAAAUAUGUCUCCAUCUGCUUAAUUCUGCUGUGGGGUCUCAGUUUGACCGCAGGAUUCUGGUUAUUUUCAUGCCAAAAAUCCACACCCAAGUUCUGUUUCC